ACGGAGGGUGCAAGCGUUAAUCGGAAUUACUGGGCGUAAAGCGCACGCAGGCGGUUUGUUAAGUCAGAUGUGAAAUCCCCGGGCUCAACCUGGGAACUGCAUCUGAUACUGGAGAGCUUGAGUCUCGUAGAGGGGGGUGGAAUGCCAGGUGUAGCGGUGAAAUGCGUAGAGAUCUGGAGGAACACCGAUGGCGAAGGCGGCCCACUGGACUAAGACUGACGCUGAUGUGCGAAAGCGUGGGGAGCGAACAG
rnacentral:rRNA from 1 species